AGUGAGGCCAGGAUCAAACCUGCGUCCUCACAGUCACUGGUAUUGGGUUCUUAACUCACUGAGCCUCAAUGGGAACUCCUAUUUUAAAAAUAUUCUAUAUAAACAUUAUAUGUUAUGAAAAUUAAUGCAGGUUGCCAUCUCAAUAAAUUGUUAAAUGCCCCACUAACUAAUUACUAUCUGCAAUCUGGAAAACUUUUCUUUAGCGGCCUGACUUGAAAUCCUGACUUGCAAUUCCCAUUGUGCUGUCUGCGCUAUUUUCCUCUCUCCACCCUCCUAUAGGGUGAAGCUUACGAAUCAGUGUCUCCUCAGUGAACUAGCUGGGAUAAUUCCUGGUGUCUGUGCAGGAUAGGUGUUCUUUCUAUAGCAAUCUGAGGACUUGACUUCUCCCCCUUCCCUCCCCACCCCACCAGGCCAGGCUGGGGCCGUUUGUUUGGAGCACACUAAUAAGGGUGAAUCGUGGCACCCCUUUGCCAAGCUGACUCCGAUCUAAUUAUUUGUUUCAUGCUUUUUGACCAGGUUCAAGAUGGUUAUUCAGAGGGAAGUAGUAUAAGGUGUGAAGAAAUAGGUUUGGGAUGUGGGAGGAGGGUUUCAGUAAUAUUUUCAUGCCCUUGAGGGAUUUGCUCUCAUUGAAGAUUAAGGUGAUUAUUUUUAGAGUCACCAGAAUGUUAAUCUAUCUUCAGGAAACCUUUUUCUGGACAUAUUUGUAUAAUAGCAAUUGCUUUUAGGAUAUUACUGGGUAUUUGGCUGAAGUAAUGUUUCAUUAAAUGUUAUCAUUUGUUUAUACACUUAAACAUUCAGAGAUAGUCUUUCAUAUUCCUGUCCCUCUCUUCUGGGUUAUCAUGUCCUGGCACAUGAAAGCUUCAGAGUCUUGGGUGAGAGGCAGACAUGUAAAAAUCAAUCCCAUGAAAGUGCUAUGUAGAGUUUUAUGCAAGAUACCAAGGGCCACAGAAGAUACAAUCCCCAACUCCCUGUGGAGGUCAGGGCAGUUUCUUGGAGGAAGUGAUGUUAGGAAGGAGGAGGUAGAGUUUGCUAGAAAAGAGGUUGAACUUUUCAGGGAGGGUGAACGGGGUGUGUGAAGCAUCAAAGACUUGGAAGAGCUCAGAGCUGCAAGAAGCUUCGUGAUGGUGGUGGAAAGGAGAAAGAUGAUGUGGAGAAACUUUUGAGGUGAGAUUGUGAAGAAACUUGCAUGCCAUGCUGAGGAGUGUGGACUUUAUCCAUUGGGAACCAGGGUGAGAUGCAUUUAAGGAUUAUUCGUAGAGGAGUGAUGUAAGUAGACUUUACAUUUUGGAAACACUGUUCUGGUAAAUAGCAUAUUUCUAAGGAAUUUAAUUGUACCACAAAAUUUUAGGGUGGAAAAGAGGAUGUGGAGUAUGGAUCAGUGUUUCUCAAACUUGAAUGUGGACCACCUGGAGGGCUUGUUAAAACACAGGUUGCUAGGACCACCCACAGAGCUCUUGGAUUAGAAAAUCUGAGGCAGGUCCUUAGAUUUGCAUUUCUAACAAGUUCCCAGGUGAUACUAGUGCUGCUGGUCCAGGGACCACAAUUUGCUUAUUGAUGCUAUGGUAGGAAGAAUAAGUGGCCCCCAAAGAUGUCAUGUCCUAACCUUUGGAACCAACUAAUACAUUAUGCUAGAUAGAAGAUGGGAGUUAAGGUUUUGGAUAGAAUUCAUUUAUGAUUAAUUUCCUAAUGAAAUACUUAGUAAAGGAAGGUUGUUAAUGAGCUGACCUUAAAAUCAGGAGGGUAGCCUGGAUUAUCCAGGUGGGUCCAGUGUAAUCACAGGGGCACUUAAAAUCGUGGGAGACACAGAAGAGGAGACUCAGAGGGGGAGUGGCUACUGUAGGUUGAGCAAAGAGAUGAGAUGCUGCUGGUUCUGAAGAGGGAGGAAGGGGGCAGUGAGUCAAGGAAGUGAGCAGUCUCUCGAAGCUGGAAAAGACCCCAGUCAAAUGCUGCUGUGGUUCAUUUGAGCUUUAUGUAUCUGAGACAGUCCCAUCUCUGGAUCUUCAGAGCUGAUUUGGAAUGCAUACCAUUGAAGCCUUCACAUUCUUCAUGCAUUUAAAACAGAGCUGUAGUUGGAGGUUUCUUCCACAGAUCGACCUCUAGUGUUUCCGAUUGACAAGCUCAGGAAGGAGGGAGGCAGGGGUCUCUCCCUGGAGUGUCUCAAAUGCGUGCAACAUGCAUGAAUGCUGGACUGGGAUCAGUGAGCCAAAAGAUGCACAGCAACACACUUGGCUGGACAAGUCCCUGAGGAUUGUGAAUGGGGAGGACCUGUGAGCAAUGUUCAUUCUAGAAGGUUCUUGUGUGGACAUGUCUUCAGCUCACUUGGGUAAACCAAGGAGUGCGAUAAAUGGAUUGUAUGGUAAGAGUUUAGUUUUGUAAGAAACCACCAAACUGCCUUCCCAAAUGGCAACAUCUGAGAAUUCUGUGGCUCCACAUUCCUCAUCAGCAUUCAGUCUUAUCAGGGUUCUGGAUUUUUGGCCCUUAUAAGAGAGGGAAAAACAGAAACUCAGAGAGGUGGCUUGUCCAGGAUCAUGGAGUUGGUAAGUGGCAGAGUUGGGACUCAAACUCAAGUGAUCUGAUGCCAGAAUUAUCAUGGUUAAAUACUGCUUUUAGGGAAUGAGCCAUGAAAACAACCGGGAAGGUAGGACCCAGGGGGUAGGGGGAAAUUUGGAUGAGAGGGAUGUACCAGAAGCCAAGAGAAAAAAGAUUGUCAAAGAAAACUCGCUGAAUGAAGGAUUAUGUGAUUAAAGAUUCUGAAUAUUGGAGACAUCCAUGAAGGUUUUAUGGUUGUGGCAAUACUAGUGAACAUGGAAAGUGGAAGAUAAUAGUGAGUUGAGUAGAAACUGGAGAACAGAGUUGGAGAUGUUGGGUAUAAGCUUCUUUGUAGAAGACUCAUGACCAAGGAUGGCCUGUGAUUUGGGAUGUGUGAGGGAUGUUUUGGUUUUUAAUGGGAAAGAUGUAAUUGUUCUUAGAGGCUAAUUAAAUAGAAUCAGUCGGGUAAAAAGGAAAGGGAGAGGAAUAUGAUUGAAAUGGGGAUAAUAGGUCCAAGAAGCAGGUAGAAGAUUAGGUGGAUAGAAGAAAGGGUACUUCUACUGAGAAGAGAGAGAAAGAAUUAAGGAAGGUUCCUUGUCUGGCAAGUUUGCAGGGAAAGAAGAUAAAGUUGGGGUAUUUUUCUUACAGACAGAAUAAAAUCACUUGAAUGAGGCAAGUACUGUAGAUAUACAAAUUACUGUUUAGGAAUUGAUGAUAUAAACAUUUUCCAAAUUAAUAGAAUUUCAGCAAGUCUUCUAUAUUUGUGUCUCUAAAUCUAGAAAGGAUGUCCAGUUUUGUCUUUUCCUUUUCAUUCUGCACCAGAGUUAUUGCUUCGUGACUAGAGGGUAGUCAUUUUAAUAUGAACUUGGUUAUAUUCAAGAGGAAUUGCAUUGGCUGUUCAUGCUACAGGUUUAAGUGAAAUCAAUAGAAGUUUUCAAAGAGUACACUCUGUUAAUCCCCUCUGGAAAAUGAAGUUACCUUCAUAUCCCUCACUCUGUCUGCCCCAGACCCUUUCAUGGUCAUCUGAUGCCUGACACAGGAAACUUGGUGUCUUAAUUGGGGCUGUCACAGCAAAAUAUCAAAGGAUGGGUAGUUUAAAGAGCAGACAUUUAUGUCUUACACCCUGGAGGCUCGGAAGUCCAAGAUCAGAAUGCCCAUAUGGUUUGGUUCUGGGAAAACCCUCUAUCUGGCUUACACAUGGCUGCCUUUUUGCUGUGUCUUCUCAUGGCAGAGAGCAAAGGGGAGGAAAAAGGUGAGAAGGGGAGAAAGAGAAAUCAUGUGAGCUUUCUGGUAGGUCUCUUAAGAACACUAAUUCCAUCAUGACGACCCAACCUUCAUGACCUCAUAUAAACUUAAUUACCUCCCAAAAGCCCCAUUUCCAAAUUACCAUUGCUUUGGGGGUUAGGAUUUCAACAUACAGAUUUCAAGGGGACACAAGCACCCAGUCCAUAAUACACUGUGGUCCUGGAAGAUUUGUUCCCCUUAGAAUAACCCCUGUUCCUUUCGCGCUUAUAUCAUUUCAUUAAAUCAGAACUUGUCGUUCUUUAUUUCUCACAAGAGUUCAGUGGUUUUAUAAUUUCAAAAAAUUACUGUGUUUUAUUUGCUAAAUCCAUGUGAAAACUCAUUUGUCUUUUAAGAUCACUAAAUCUCCUCUCUCUACGUAAAAAAAAUGCAAGCGUUCCCGUCGUGGCACAGUGGUUAAUGAAUCUGACUAGGAACCAUGAAAUUGCAGGUUCGAUCCCUGGCCUUGCUCAGUGGGUUAAGGAUCUGGCGUUGCCGUGAGC